UCAAGCGAACAAGGGCGCAGGGCGAAUGCCUUGGCACUGGGAGCCGAUGAAAGACGUGAUAAGCUGCGAAAAGCUUCGGGGAGCUGCAAAUAAGCAUUGAUCCGGAGAUUUCUGAAUGAGGAAACUCACCUGGGUUCAUACUCAGGUACGUUACACUGAAAUUCAAAAUAGGUGUAUCGAGGGAACCGCCUGAACUGAAACAUCUAAGUAGGGCGAGGAAGAGACAUCAAACGAGAUUCCGUAAGUAGUGGCGAGCGAACGCGGAAGAGGGCAAACCGGGAGUCGAAAGACUUCCGGGGUACGGAGCGCAUUUAAGACUUAAGUUGUUAACCGAACGGCAUGGGAAGGCCGGUCAGAGAGUGUGAGAACCACGUAGGUGAAAGCGACGAGAGCUGAGCGAUUUCCAGAGUACGGCCAGACACGUGAAACCUGGUCGGAAGAUGGGGGGACCACCCUCCAACCCUAAAUACUACCCAGUGACCGAUAGCGUAUAGUACUGUGAAGGAAAGGUGAAAAGCACCCCGGGAGGGGAGUGAAAGAGAACCUGAAACCCUGUGCCUACAAGCACCUAGAGCACGUCAAUGUGUGAUAGGGUACUUUUUGUAGAACGGUCCGGCGAGCGAUUGUAUGCAGCAAGGUUAAGGUCUUAAGGACUGGAGCCGAAGCGAAAGCGAGUUUGAAAAGGGCGUUAAGUUGCAUAUAAUGGGCCCGAAACCGGGUGACCUACCCAUGGUCAGGUUGAAGUGGAAGUAAAAUUCCAUGGAGGACCGAACCGACCUCCGUUGAAAAGGCGGCGGAUGAACUGUGGGUAGCGGAGAAAUUCCAAUCGAACCCGGAGAUAGCUGGUUCUCCCCGAAAUAGUUUUAGGACUAGCCUCAGGUUAGAUAUCUGGAGGUAAAGCACUGAAUAGCCUAGCGGCCGAGAGGUUAGCGAAGCUUAUCAAACUCAGAAUGCCAGAAUAUUGAUGCCUGGGAGUCAGACAGUGUCAGAUAAAUGUCAUUGUCAAAAGGGAAACAGCCCAGAUCUACAGCUAAGGUCCCAAAGUCAGGUUAAGUGGAAAACGAUGUGAAGAUACGCAGACAACCAGGAUGUUGGCUCAGAAGCAGCCACUCAUUCAAAGAGUGCGUAAUAGCUCACUGGUCGAGCGUCUUUGCGCGGAGAAUUUAACGGGGCUAAACCUGGCACCGAAGCUUAGGCAAUGUAGUGAUACAUUGGGUAGGGGAGCGUUGUAUACGCGGUGAAACAGUAGCGCAAGCGGCUGUGGAGUGUAUAGAAGUGAGAAUGCCGGAAUGAGUAGCGCGAAUGCAGUGAGAAUCUGCAUGGCCGAAAGCCUCAGGUUUUUGGAGGAAGGUUCGUCCGCUCCAAGUUAGUCGGGAGCUAAGGUGAGGCCGAAAGGCGUAGCCGAUGCACAGACGGUAGAGAUUCCGUCACCACCAAAAGAGUUAAGCACAGGGACACAUUUGAAGUCUCAGAGCCGGGUGUUGGUUCCGGUAGAGAUCGAGGGAAGUUAGUACCGAAGUCUGGGAUGGAAGAUGGCGAGAAAAGCUGUGUGUAUUUCUGAGGUGCCCGUACCGCAAACCGACACAGGUAGGUAGGAAGAAGAUUCUAAGGCCAACGGGAGAAGGGUUGUUAAGGAACUCGGCAAAUUGACCCCGUAACUUCGGGAGAAGGGGUGCUCCAGAGAUGGAGCCGCAGAGAAUCGGCCCAAGCAACUGUUUACCAAAAACACAGGUUUGUGCUAAAUCGAAAGAUGACGUAUACGAGCUGACGCCUGCCCGGUGCUGGAAGGUUAAGAGGAGAUGUGCAAGCAUUGAAUCGAAGCCCCAGUGAACGGCGGCCGUAACUAUAACGGUCCUAAGGUAGCGAAAUUCCUUGUCAGGUAAG
rnacentral:rRNA from 1 species